UCUCUCAUUCUCGAAAGAUCACUGCCGCAUGCCAUCAAAAGAAAACACGAAUUAGGUUUAGUUAAAUGCAGUGCUCAUGAACCGGCAAUUUCAACUAUCCACCCUACUUCACGUAAUUCACUCCUUCCCUUAUUUCCAUGUCUCCAUAUGUGUACUUCCCUAUAUUUGAAGACUUCUAGUCAAAACAUAUGAUAAAACACGUUUUUAGAGUGAAUUGAGGAUAGAGAGGUCACGAACAGUGAGGUGGGAGGAAUCUAUGGCUUUGGGCAAAAUUUAAAAGAAUAGAGGCGAGGCUUGAGGGAUCUAUUUUUGGCAGAUCUUCACCUUUUCUUGGAAACUCGAAAAACACACAACAAAAUAAUACAUAUUUCUGCUUCUUCACUUUUCAAUUCUAGAUUUUUAUUCAAGAAUGGACUCUGGUUAAAAUGUGGGUCUGAGUCCGUGUUUGGUUGAGUUUUCUGGCGCCGAUUCGAGACUCCGUCCGGUUUUCAGCUUUUUGGUGCCGAUUCCAGUUCUGUGCGCUGUUCGUUACAUUUUUGAGUUUAAAGCAGUGAGACAAUUAAUUUCCAGCUAAAUUAAGGUAUGCUGGUUCUUGUGCUUCCGCAUCUGCAGAGGAAUGGAUGCAGAUGGGAGUCCGUAGAUGCAGACAGUUGGUCACAGGAGCGCAAACAAGCUUGGCUGACGAUGAUCGUAAAUGCAGAGGAAGAGGCGCACCUGCGUGUGCGCAGAAGCGAAUCAUUGGGCGGAAGAGCGGGGUCUUGCGCAGGAGUGAAGAGGAGCUCGCACCUGCGAUGUCGCAGAAGUGGAAAUUGUUCCGCAAGUGUAAGGGGUUGGUUGGUUAGUCGUGGUCGCAGAAGCGUGAUUUUGGUCGCAAAAGCGACGCUGCAGAAGAGGCUAAUGUGCCGCAGGCGCGAAAAUACUUGGCAGAAGCUAUAAAUCGAGGGUUUUGGUUCUUUCUUCAUAUUUUGAGAUGUGGGACUAGGAUUGAGGCGACUUUUGAAGCAAUUUUCAUUACAGGGAUCUGGUUUCGAGUCGUUCGGAGGUCGGUACCCGCGAGAUGGUAUUUUUGGAGCAUCGGUUGGCUAGUUUCGAGUGUUGGAUCUGGCUUGUUUGAGAUGUUGGAUGAUGAUGUUGUUGUGAUCGACGGGAGCUGAAAAUUGAAGACGUACUUGCAUUCCGGAUGUAGCUACCUCUUUUUCAUGAUAGCAUUAGAUGUAUAAAAAUUUGUUUAUGUACAUUUCGAACAAUUGAUGUAUUUAUUUUAUACUAACUUUGUAAACUCUAAUCUUAGAAGCUCAUGAUUUGUACUA